GGUUACUGCUAUCGGUGUUCGACUAAGCCAUGCGAGUCAAAUGUUCUUCGUGAACAUGGCGGACUGCUCAGUAACACGUGGAUAACCUGCCCUUAGGUUCGGCAUAACUCCGGGAAACUGGAGAUAAUUCCGAAUAGGUCAAAUAUGCUGGAAUGCUUUUUGGCCAAAAGACUUCGGUUGCCUAAGGAUGGAUCUGCGGUCUAUCAGGUAGUAGUGGGUGUAACGUACCUACUAGCCUACGACGGAUAUGGGUUGUGAGAGCAAGAGCCCAGAGAUGGAUUCUGAGACAUGAAUCCAGGCCCUACGGGGCGCAGCAGGCGCGAAAACUUUACAAUGCGGGAAACCGCGAUAAGGGGACACCGAGUGCCAGCAUUUAUGUUGGCUGUCCACAUGUGUAAACGGCAUGUGUUAGCAAGGGCCGGGCAAGACCGGUGCCAGCCGCCGCGGUAACACCGGCGGCCCGAGUGGUAAUCACUUUUAUUGGGUCUAAAGGGUCCGUAGCCGGUUUGAUCAGUUCUUCGGGAAAUCUGACAGCUCAACUGUUAGGCUUCCGGGGAAUACUGUCAGACUUGGGACCGGGAGAGGUAAGAGGUACUACAGGGGUAGGAGUGAAAUCUUGUAAUCCCUGUGGGACCACCAGUGGCGAAGGCGUCUUACCAGAACGGGUCCGACGGUGAGGGACGAAAGCUGGGGGCACGAACCGGAUUAGAUACCCGGGUAGUCCCAGCCGUAAACGAUGUUCGCUAGGUGUCAGGGGCGGUGCGACCGCUUCUGGUGCCGUAGGGAAGCCGUGAAGCGAACCACCUGGGAAGUACGGCCGCAAGGCUGAAACUUAA
rnacentral:rRNA from 1 species